rnacentral:lncRNA from 10 species
AACUCGCAAAAGGCAGAUUAAUUGGAGAAAAGGCAUAAAAUGUACUAACAUGUACUUGGGGAGGGCCACAGAGUGAUUACCCUACCCUACCCACAAUGGGAUGCAGAAGCUUAUACACCAUCUCGAGGUAACAGAAUGAAUGAGGGCUCAAAGCAUGGCCAAAACCAGGUACCAUCAGAGUCAGAUGUAUAUCCAUUUAUUGUGGGCAAGACAGGUUAUAGGAGGGAGAGAAGAGGAGGCUUAGCUAGCAAAGGUGGUCUUAAUAUGUAAAUGAAACCUUACAGGUAGCAGCUCUCAGAGACAGUAAACCCUAAAAGUUUCUUUGAGACCUUUACAGCUGUCAGACUCUCAGUUAAUCUUUCCUAGAUCUGGGCAAAGAAAGACUUGGCUGCAUCAAUGCAGAUUCCCUACAGAUGCAAAUCUCCCCAACAAAAUACAACUUUGCAGGGCUACUUCUGCAGCUGGCUUUCUGAACAGACAUCUCAAAAUGUGUCAAAGAAAUGUAUUUUGGGGUGAAAUAUUUUUAAUUCCUUCACAUCUACAGCCUGAUGCACCUGCCGUUUCAACGCAACAUUGUUGGUGGCAAUUCCAUUCUUCCCUACACUCAAGCCAAAAAAACAGAUUCUCCUUGAGGCUAGUCUUUUUCUCAGAGCACACAUACAAUUUGUCAGAAAAAUUACGUUUCCUGUUUGGGUUAAUUACAGACUUUGAUCUGCCCAAUCUUUCUCUUUCUUGGUCUCUGAAUUUUGGCAAAGGAGUCUCCGGUCUCCGGAUACAGGCGGGAUCGAUUCUACAGACGAGUCUCAAAACCGUCAGACAUUUAAGAGCCUUAAUCUCGAGGUCAGGGUUUGGGCCGCCCUUGACACUUUUCUUUGGGCCUACGCGACAAAAUCAGCCUGGCCAGGCCUGUUUUCAAGGCCCAGAGGCAGGGCCAGGUCCUCCCGAUGCUUCUUGAAGCUUCUUCCGCGGGUCGACCCCUACCCUCCCCUUCCCUGUGACCUGCAGAGAAGCUUCAGGGAUCAUUUAUUCAAUUUGCUAGGAGCCCGCGAGGCGCAGGUGCGCGGUGACUCUGUGGUUCCCACCGCACCCGCCGCCCUCCUUGGUCCUCUCGCUGUCUCCGGAGGGCAGUAACCUUACAGGUGAGCUUGGGCUCCGAAGACACUCAGCCAGGGAGGGACCGUUAGGGAAGGGCAUCGGCCCCUUAGGUCCUUCGCAGUAGGGAUCCGAAAAAGGUCUUGAAGAAAUAGAACGGGAGAGUUAGAAGUAGAUCAAAGGGAAAGAAAGAAAUUCUAGAUUUCCUAUCUGAAGGCACCAGGAAGAGAAAGUCCGCCUCCUCUGGGCCGGGUCCUCACGUCGCUGGUGAACCGAGUUCCGACCUCCACUGGAGACCAAAUCAGUUGACUUUGGCUGGACUCCUAGUGAAGAAGCCACGCUUUGUCUUCCCUUGUUUAGCUCUUGAUCCUGAACCACUUGACUGUCUCUCCCGGGCUUUCCACGGAUUCCAGGGAUGCAACUGAGAAGUUUGUUUUUAAUGCACUUACUUGAAGUAAGAAUAUUUGAAAGUAUUUUUGCAAAGACAAAGGUUUCCUUUUGUACUGAAGACAUUCAGAUGUGAGGAAAAUCACUCAGCUAGGGAAAGCAAAUGCUGUUGAGAAUGUCUCACAAACACAAAUUACACGUCAGCAGGUAGGUUUGACCCUCAGGUUGGGCACAUUUUACUUUAAGUGCACUGUUGGUGGAACUUAAGAUG